rnacentral:rRNA from 1 species
CUGGUUGAUCCUGCCAGUAGCAUAUGCUUGUCUUAAAGAUUAAGCCAUGCAUGUCUAAGUAUAAAUCUUUAUACGGUGAAACUGCGAAUGGCUCAUUAAAUCAGUUAUAGUUUAUUUGAUAAUACCUACUACUUGGAUAACUGUAGUAAUUCUAGAGCUAAUACAUGCUGAAACACCCGACUCGCGAAGGGUGGCAUUUAUUAGAUAAAAAACCAAUGCGGGGACCACCCCGGACCAUUGAUGACUCAUAAUAACUGAGCGAAUCGCAUGGCCCAGCGCCGGCGAUGAUUCAUUCAAAUUUCUGCCCUAUCAACUUUCGAUGGUAGUGUAGUGGACUACCAUGGUGAUAACGGGUGACGGGGAAUUAGGGUUCGAUUCCGGAGAGGGAGCCUGAGAGAUGGCUACCACUUCCAAGGAAGGCAGCAGGCGCGCAACUUACCCAAUCCUCAAAGAGGGAGGUAGUGACAAUAAAUAACAAUACGGGUCUUGACAAAAGUCUCGUAAUUGGAAUGAGUACAAUUUAAACCCCUUAACGAGUACC